CUUUGUUAAGAACCUGCUAAAGAUCAGACAAACUGUCUGCUUUGUUCAUUUAACACGAGCAGAGACGUCCAAGUGAAGCUGGGUUUUCAUCACUUUGCAAAGUGCUUCUCUCUCCUCGUAUACAGAUCCAUCAACCAUUUUCAAAGGCCAGCUCCUCCGGCUUUCAUUCAGCAAACAGAAUCCAGUGGACACAACACUGAAUGAAUCUAGCGCUGGGUCUUCCCAGGUGACAGUCUCUGCCUCAUCCUUUUCUUUUACAUGUGUCCUGGGAUCCUUGAUCUGACAUGCUAGAAGUUAGAUUACAUGGAAAUUGGAAGUUGGAGAAACCAUGUGGGGCCACAGAGAGGUAGAGGUGGCAGAGGAGCACCAGCUGUACCAGUAUCCAUCCCUCUGAGGCUUCCUAGUGAGAACUGUCAAACUGGAGUGUGCUAGCCUGCAGAGAAUGCCAAUCCCUGGACUUCAAGGUACCCUCAUGGAUGCAAAGGGAAACAGAAAAGCAGUCUUUCUCAAAGACCUUCCCCCAUUAUAGGCCCAUGAACAUAAUAAAUGUUAUUUCAAGCUGGUAAGCCACAGCUCAUUGGAUGUUUUUGUUGCUUGCAGUCUGAAGCAUCUCUACCUGGACCAGUUAGCAGAGAUGAAAAGAAAUAGCUCCAAAGCAGCUCUACCUGGACCAGUUAACAGAGAUGAAAAGAAAAAGCAUCAUUGGUCCAUUUGAGUCCUGUGUGUUGAUUAUUUAUCUUGCCCCUCUUAUCCUGUUGAAGGGAACAGUGUUUUGCACAAGACAUUUCAAGGCCAAGUUCUCAGCACAAAGGAGAUUUACUUGCCCCAGAGGAACAGAGGGCAGGGAAAAAGAGACAGAGACAAGAGAUAGAGGACAAGGGAGAAGGGGAAAGGAACAGGGGAGAUGGAGAAGGGGUGUUUGUCCUGAAGGACAAAGGAUUGCCUCUGGAUAGAGAGGAGACAGAUGUGGCCCACAGGAAAACGGUGGUUUAUAAAGGUAAAUGAGGAAACCCUGUGUUAGGAUGAGGUGCCUAAUUUUGAUUAGACAGGUUAAUUAGGGUGACCACAAGGGGGCUUUUGAUUGCUAGACUUCAGUUCUUUUAGCUGGACCUUGGCAGUCAGUCUCAGGGGGAGGAAGUGGCCAGACAGGGGAGCAGACCUUGCAGGCUAGCUUUAGGAAUGCAAUUUAAUAUUUUUCUCAAGGAAGAAGGAAUAGGGGAGAAAGGCAAGACCUGCCAGAGCCAUUUUUGCCAUGGCCAGGCCACGAGUCCCUGCCAAGUACAUGGUGAUCCUUAAUGUCAGCACUCGGGAGGCAGAGGCAAGCAUAUCUCUGAUUUCAAAGCCAGCUUGGCCUACGAAAUGAGUUCCAGGCUAGCCAGGGCAGCAUGAUGAGGUCUGUCCAAAUAUAAAAUAAAAUUAAAGUCAAGGCAGGAAUGCAUGAACACCAUUCUCUUUCUCGCCCCUAUGGCAUUUCAGUAAUAAUAAACCGUAAUUAUUACCAGUAGGCAAAGCUUGGGAGUCUGCUUCUUCUGAUUCACCUUGGGGUUCGAAGACGUUUUCUUCGCAGAGCCCUCCUAGCAUUUGAUGGCUUUGUUCUUUCCUUGACAUUUUCAGCUUUUUAAAUAGAUGAAUAUUUAAUGUCAUGUUCCAUAGGCCAGAUUCUUUGAAGCCAAAUAUCAUGGGUUAGUUCUCACUUUUUAAAGGGGUGGUGGUCACUCA
rnacentral:lncRNA from 1 species